UGUCAUCGUAGGGGGGCGCGGCCGGAGUCCCAUGGGGGGCGGGGCAUGUCUAAUGACUCUUAAAGGGGCAGCGCGCGCCUGGCUUGAGGCUUCCCGCGGGGCCUGGGUAUGUCAGGAGUCCAAGGGGGCGCAAGUGGCCCAGUGCACCCCCGGGGGCCGCUCCCGGCUGCAGGGGUUGCAGCCCUUGCCUGCCCAGUCCUGACGCAAGGACUCGUGUGCCAAGGGAGCCAAGCCUUGCCCCCUCCCCGCUGCAUCUGCCCCAGGAGGAGGGGGAGCGCCUGCUUCGCCACAGGGGUGUGCUCCUCCUCCUCAUGCGUGCCGCCGGCUGGCAGGCAGCAGGGAGGUGCCUGCCUGCUGCCACGGGCCUGGGCCGAUCCAGGGCCAGGAGGUCCCAGUGCUGCCCCGGCUGGAAAAGGGGAAGGCCUUUCCAUACGAGACCAAGCAAAAGAGGUGACUUCAUCUCCCAAGACUAUGCAGCAAGUCAGUGGCAGAGUGAAGAGCAGAGGCCAGGUUUCUCCCUUCCUGACCAAUAUCCUUGCCAUUACGACACAUGCCUUCCUUACAAGGACAAGCAUACUCUAUGGGUGCCAAGGGAAAAGUUGUCUUUACCUUUGUCUUCAUUCUUAGCACCAACUAACUGACUUCAAGAUCAGAAGGGCAUACCACCCCUGAAUGAACAGCCAGCCCCAUGGGCAAGGAAAACAAAAGAGGGCCACUGACAAUAUAGCAGCAAAGAUGCAACAGAGAAAGAAAGAAAGUAAAAAAAAAAAGAAAUGCAGGGAGAUCCAGGAGGUGCAGGAGGAAGGGGAACAGGGAGAGAUGGAGAAUGCCCUAUCAGGAGAGAUUUGAUAGGGAGCAGAACCAUAUACUUAUAGGAUGUCCUAGUCACCAUGAUUCUCAAUUGGUCCCAGCAUUUAUAUACUUCUUGCCCACAUAGUCUUGAAGAAGUACCUGUUCCUCCAGCCUCUCCAGUGGGCUGUGCCUUGCUACAAAUAAUGCAUAGAUUUCUAAACUUUCAGAGUUACUUAGGCAAUGGAGUAGUUCAGGAACAGAGUUGGAGGUGCCAGACAAAGUCUACAUGCUCAGUCCUGUGGAGCCCUGUGCAGUACAUGGGUGGGGGGAGGAGAGCCAGGAAAAAGGCUAUGGUUAACUAGUACUACAAGUAUUAAUGAGGUCUGUUUCCAGGUUCCUGUGAGGUAUUGCCAAUUUGGGGGUUUUGUUGAACCUUAGUUAGGGCUACUAGUUGCACCUUGCCCCCGACUUGAAGAAGCCCAGACAUCUGGAAUAAGUUUGGAAUGGAUAGCACAGACAGUUGGUCAGCCUACAAAGCCUUUUGUUUCCUUUGAACUAAAACUUACUUUUCUGUCUGAAAUUGGUUGUUGUCAUGGUAUGUGCAAAGAAAUAAACAUCUAAAUUAUGCAGAAAAGUGAUUUUAUUAAACUAUCAAGAACACAGCAUAUGGAAACCAAUUUACCUGGCACCCCAGGGUUCAAAACUCAUAAACACAAAGAUUUAAACU